GUGUCAGCCGCCGCGGUAAUACGUAGGGGGCAAGCGUUGUUCGGAAUUAUUGGGUUUAAAGGGUCCGUAGGCGGAUCUGUAAGUCAGUGGUGAAAUCUCACAGCUUAACUGUGAAACUGCCAUUGAUACUGCAGGUCUUGAGUAAGGUAGAAGUAGCUGGAAUAAGUAGUGUAGCGGUGAAAUGCAUAGAUAUUACUUAGAACACCAAUUGCGAAGGCAGGUUACUAUGUCUUAACUGACGCUGAUGGACGAAAGCGUGGGGAGCGAACAGGAUUAGAUACCCCUGUAGUCC
rnacentral:rRNA from 1 species